UAAGGAAUAUUGGUCAAUGGAGGCAACUCUGAACCAGCCAUGCCGCGUGAAGGAUGAAGGCCCUCUGGGUUGUAAACUUCUUUUAUCUGGGAAGAAAUCCACUGUUUCUACGGUGGUUGACGGUACCAGAGGAAUAAGCACCGGCUAACUCCGUGCCAGCAGCCGCGGUAAUACGGAGGGUGCAAGCGUUAUCCGGAUUUACUGGGUUUAAAGGGUGCGUAGGCGGGCUUUUAAGUCAGCGGUGAAAGCUUCGAGCUUAACUCGGAAAUUGCCGUUGAUACUAUUAGUCUUGAAUUAAGUUGAGGUGGGCGGAAUAUGUCAUGUAGCGGUGAAAUGCUUAGAUAUGACAUAGAACACCGAUUGCGAAGGCAGCUCGCUAAACUUAUAUUGACGCUGAGGCACGAAAGCGUGGGGAUCAAACAG
rnacentral:rRNA from 1 species